UACGGGGGGGGGCAAGCGUUGUUCGGAAUUAUUGGGCGUAAAGAGCUCGUAGGCGGUUUGUCGCGUCGAAUGUGAAAACCCGGGGCUCAACCCCGGGCCUGCAGUCGAUACGGGCAGACUAGAGUGCGGUAGGGGAGACUGGAAUUCCUGGUGUAGCGGUGAAAUGCGCAGAUAUCAGGAGGAACACCGGUGGCGAAGGCGGGUCUCUGGGCCGUAACUGACGCUGAGGAGCGAAAGCGUGGGGAGCAAACAGG
rnacentral:rRNA from 1 species